GCGAGCGUGGCGAAAUUGGCAGACGCGCCGGACUUAGGAUCCGGUGGGCAACCGUGCAGGUUCAAGUCCUGUCGCUCGCACCA
rnacentral:tRNA from 1 species